UACGUAGGGACCAAGCGUUAUUCGGAAUCAUUGGGCUUAAAGGGCGCGUAGGCGGCGAUAUAAGUUGGAAGUGAAAUCCCAUCGGCUCAACCGUGGAAUAGCUCCCAGUACUGUAUCGCUCGAGGGGGAUAGGGGUUUGCGGAACUACCGGUGGAGCGGUGAAAUGUGUUGAUAUCGGUGGGAACGCCAGUGGCGAAAGCGGCAAACUUGACCCUUCCUGACGCUGAGGCGCGAAAGCUAGGGGAGCAAACGGG
rnacentral:rRNA from 1 species